UGAUGAACAAGGACUCCUAGAUCUCUUUGUAUUUCUCCCUUACCUAACUCUACACCAUUCAGAUAACAAUCUGCCUUCCUGUUCUUAAUCCCAAAGUGGAUAACCUCACACUUAUUCACAUUAAACGUCAUCUGCCAAGUAUCUGCCCACUCACCCAGCCUAUCCAAGUCACCCUGAAUUCUCCUAACAUCCUCAUCACAUGUCACACUGCCACCCAGCUUAGUAUCAUCAGCAAAUUUGCUGAUGUUAUUUUCAAUGCCUUCAUCCAAAUCGUUGAUGUAAAUUGUAAACAGCUGUGGUCCCAAUACCGAGCCCUGUGGCACCCCACUAGUCACCACCUGCCAUUCCGAGAAACACCCAUUCACCGCUACCCUUUGCUUUCUAUCUGCCAACCAGUUUUCUAUCCAUGUCAAUGUCUUCCCCCCGAUGCCCUGAGCUUUGAUUUUACCCACCAAUCUCCUAUGUGGGACCUUAUCAAGUUGCCUUUCUUUUGGCAAUCAACUUAAUCUGUGAUAUUUUGCUAUUGGGUGUUGGAUCAGUGAAUAGAAAUCCAUCCUUGUGUCAUCUCACACAGAUUAUCCCUGUUUACUAUGUCUCUCUGUCUGUCCCUCGAUACUCCAACACCUGAAAGCGUUUGCUGAUGCUAAAUAAUAUUACCCUUAACUAGUUCUUUUCUCAGGUGCCCAACCCCAACAUGCUCCACAUAACUAAGCAUGUGAGAAUAAGUCCAGUACCUCAAGUAUUGACAGAUUUAAAUUAGGAGAGGACAAGAUUAUUCAGUAAACAGACACCAUUGCAGCAGAUCCUGUGUAUAAUCAAGAGAAACAAUAUCUUGAAAAACUUCAUUACUGUGGUUGGAAUAACAAAAUCGAAAUCCACUUACACAUCACCACACUGAAGGAAGAGAGAUGGAAAUUUAGGGCUUUAUAUUGACUUCAGUGAAAUUAAUAGAAAGAACACAACAUUCACACCACUGAUUUCAGUAAUUGAAGAACAUUGAAAUUCAUGGCCUGAAGAACUGAGUGAAGAAAAAGCAUAUUAUCCAAGCUUUAGUUUAAUAGACAGGAGACUGCUCAGCAUUGUGGAGACUCAAAACACCUCCGUUAAUGAAUAUAAAUUCCAUUUUUACAGGAUACAUGAACAAAAGGAUUUUCAAGCAUCCUUGCAAAAUGAAGUGGCUCUGAAGAAAAAUAAUUAUCUGAGGUAAAGGAGAAGAGAAGGGUAGGAAUGAAAGAAGAUGGGAGAUGGAGGAGAUGCAUACUUGCUAAGAGAUGAGGAGGGUGGAGAAAUGAGGAGCUGGAACAGCCGAGCAUUGAAAAUCAUUAUUUGGUAUCACAAUCUGGAGAUAUAUUUGUAACCUUGAUUCUGUUUUUAAAAAAUGAGCCAAAGGAGCAAUUGUCUACAAUCAGACCAUGGAUUAAAGCUGCAAGGGACAGAACAACACAGAAGCUUAUUUUGGCACUGAAAAAUUUACUCAAUGUUUCACUGAAAUUCAAUUGCUUGUCAUUAAACAUAAAAUCCUCCAUUAAUUGGUACAAUUAAGCAGCAUGAUAUUCUUUUCACUUGCAUUAAAGAAUAUCCCUGAUGUAUUCAGGCAAUUUAGAUCACCUUUAUUAAUACAGUUUAAAGUGGGUUUAUAGGAACAGUAUGAGCAUUUGUUAAUACAAGGGCAUUAACCCAUACACUGUAAAUAAUUUGAAUUUCAGUCACUGAAAGACUAUCAUUGGUAAAAGAAACAUUUAUUAGUUUCACUGAUACUACUUAGUCUUUUUCAUUCAAAUUGAAAAAAAAUUUAUAUACUUCAAUAGUAGUCUUGUAACUAAAAUAAAAUUUAAUUAUAAGACCUUCAUUAAAGUCCUUUAAGAGCAGAGAUAGAGUAGUGAUUAAAAAAAUGUUGAAUGUGGCUAAUUUUGACUGCAGUUCCUGCUUCCAGUUCACAGAUUUUAAUCUAAAUAUAAUCUAAUUAUCUAAAUAUAGCACCAAUGAGAGAGUGUGAUACUCGCUAUGGCAUGUGGGGCAGUGCAGUAGUGGCUAGCGUAAUGAUUUACAACACCAGCUGUAAUAUGGGGGUUCAAUUCCCACCACUGCCUGUACGGUAGCUUGUAUGUUGUCCCAGUGGCUGUGGGUUUCCUCCCAUAUUCCAAAGAUAUACGGGUUAGGGCUAGUAAGCUUUGAGCAUGUUACUUUAGUGCCAGAAGCACAGAUACUUGUGAGCUGCCCUCAGCACAUCUCAGACUGUAUUGGUCCUUGGUGUAAACAACAUAUUUCACUCUACGUUCCAUUGUUUCAUUGUGGCAAAUAAAUCUAAUAUUUAAUCUAUCUUUAGAUUCACCAGGUGUUAUCUGGGACGAAGCAGUUCGGUUAUGAAAAGAGACUUAAAAAACUAGGUUCGUUCUCCUUGAUUCGGAGGGGUGGUGUCAUGACUGUGGUAGAUAAAAACAUGAGGGGUAUAUAUAGGGAAGACUGCGGGAAUCUUUUUCCUAUAUUAAAGAAAGGUAAAAAGUGAGAACAUAGAUUUAGAGUGAGGGGGAAGAGGUAUGGGAGCCUGAAGACCUACAUUCACCAUUCGAGGACAGCUUCUUCCUCUCUGCAAUCAGAUUUCUGUGUUGUCCAUAAACACAUGAACACCAGCUCAUUAUUCAUCUUUUGCUCUAUUUAUUUAUAGUAAUUUUUAGUCUUGCACUGUACUGUUGCCAAAAUAACAACACAUAUCAAAACGUGUUAGAGAUAAUAAGUCUGAGUCUGAUUCUGAUUUAGACGAGAUCUGAGGAGGACCUAGAGAGCUGUUGCUGGAAAGGUUGCUUAAAGCUGGGUUGUUGUCAACAUUUAUGAAUGUUCAGUCCAGAUGGCGCUGAGCUGCAGUCUCUGGCGAGGUUGAAACUCAGUUCUUUUGUUUUAGUUUUUUUUGUUUAUAUGGAUGAUUUUGGAGGCAGACAGGGGAAUUAGGGGUCAAGUUAGGGCUUAAGGAUAGGGAUGUGGGGGAAUUAGCAGGCAGGCCGGAGAUUAAGCCUCCAAUACGUGCUCAAAGGUCAACAACAUAGAUGAGGUCAAAUGUCGGGCUGGUAAAGCAGUGAGAAUGGGGGGCCCCCUAGAUAUGCAACUCAGCAAGACCAGAGCUCGUGGCCUAGUGUUCGAGGUCCCAUCAUCAGUGGCCUGUAGUUCGGUCCUUCACCCUGAGUCCUCAUUCAUCUUUGUCAGUAGAUACUGAAGACCAAAGCCCAAAGGUAAUCGGAAGUCCAGAAGUUGAGACACUAUGGCCAGACCCUGAGUGUGCAAAUUUCUGUCAGUCUGCUGGGGAAGUUGAAGGCCAAGUGUCUGCAAAUCCAGGUGUCCACGGAGGCUGGAGGCCAAAGACAGCGUGUCCUGAUAUUAGAGGACUAUACAUGUGUGUGGGUGAAUGAAUGGUUGAGAGGAACAGGACUUGUUUUGUUGUUGUUGCUUGGUAUAUUCUGUUUUCUUGUGUUUGGUGUUGUUCUGCUGAACAUUGUAGACAUGCUAUGUUGGUCCCAGAAUGUAUGGUGACACUUGCGGGGUGCCCCCUGCACGUCCUUAGGUUGUGUUGGGUGUUAACGCAAGCAAUGCAUUCCAUUGUAUGUUUCAAUGUACAUGUGAUAAAUAAAUAAAACUUGACCCAAAAUGGAGAGUAUAAACACAAAGAGAUUCUGCAGAUGCUGGAAAUCCAGAGUAACAUGUACAAAAUGCUGGAGGAACUCAGCAGAUCAGGCAGCAUCUAUAAACAGGGUCUCAGCCUAAAAUAAACAGGGAAGAAACAGUGUCUCACCCCAAAAUAUCAACUAUUUAUUCCUCUAUAUAAUUGCUGCCUGACCUGCUGAGUUCCUCCAUCAUUUUGUGUGUGUUGCUGCCAGUGGAGACUGUCUGGCACACUUUUGUGUGUUGUUUAGCACAACUGACAAUUAUUUAAUAUCAGCCGUUAACCCAGUCACAUGAUGAGGCUCAUCCCACACAUUUCCUCCACUGCCAGGAUAAAUUGGAGUUCUUGGCAUAAUCUAUGACAGUUAUUCAACAUUAAAAUCUCAGCGCUCAAACAAAACAUUAUUUAAAAGACUAAAGCUGUGAUAUUGAUGUCUUUUACAUAGAUUCUUCCAGUCUCUGUUUUUCAUGGUCAAUACAAUGGAAAGCACAUCUAUGUUCAGACCUACUUGUACAAAUCACACUAGGACUAUGAUCUCUGCUCUCCCUUGAUCAUCCCACAGCUCACAGUAAAAUGGGGUCAAAAGUGGCAUGGGACCCAAUCAAAAAGGGCACCAUUCAAUGGAGGAGGGUAGUUGGAGAUGGCCACAUCUCCUUUCCCAUUCACUUCACCUCACUCCCAUGGCAGCCAUUUAUGAAGAUGUUCUGAGGAUGUCUUGGGGAAAUUGACUUAUGGAUCUGCUGCUUUUCCUACUGAUCAGUACAGAAUGAUAAAGCAGUGAGACCUUGACAUAAGUCCCAAAGUGAAUCAAACAGAUCCUGUUUUAACAACCAGUUCUGUGUUGUUCGCUCCAAUCUCCUUAUUUUGCCUGUGGAUCUGAGUGUACAUUAGUACUGUCAACACAAAGUUCACCACCGCAGAGGUUUUUAAGCAUUACUGUUGAUGCAGGACAAGACAUCAUCUAAUCAUUAAGUUGAAGUCAACUUAGCCUAAAAUUUCAAACACUGAAGCUCUUAUUGCUGAUUAAGUCCUGAAGGUACCUACAAUUAAUAGUCAAGAGGUUAUUUUGAAGAAUCUAAAGAGUUGCCACAGUUCCAGAUGAAUCCAGUCAGAAAUGGUUUUGUUUCUGACUGCUAUUCUCUUUUGGAAUUCUGAAGCGUGGUACCUAAGUCUGUCAGAUUUUUUUUACACUUUUGGCAUAUGAUAUUAGAUAGCCUCAUUAUCUUUAUGUCUGCACUCCACAAAACUUUGUUGAUUGAAGUUGUAAUAUAUUGAGUGGGUAAGACAUAUGUUAUUUAAUUCAACUUAGAUAAAUUGUGACUGCAUUAUUGACUUCAAGAGGCGAGAGCCAUUCGAAACUUUGUCAGUUGCCUUGAUGCACUUCUGCUGUUCAUUUCAGCUGCAGCAAAGAAGCUUCCUGAAACCUAAGAAGCUGUUUGGUUAGCUGCAACAAAUUUAUCACUCUGGCCAACUACUCAUCAAUUAAUUAAAUUCAUCAAAGCAACAAUUAGCUGGCAACUGUAAGUAUUUAGCAUGGUGAUGCAAGAAACAAAUUAAUAGUGGAUGUUUUAACCGACUUGCAAACACAACAGGCAAACUCAAAUGAAAAUGAAUCAACAUACAGUGUCCACAUAAGCAAUGGACUGAAGUAAGUGAAUGAGAACAGAUGAACAUUUGAACUGAGCACACAAAUUUCUGGUUUAUCACCACCAGCUCUUGUUUGCUUCUCCCCAUAGUACAAGUUGCUGGACAUGACUCAUUGCCCAGUGUCACAUCCUGCAGUCCUCACCUACCUGUACUUACUUUGGGUUGGACGUGGAGAGAAGAACUCAUUGACCCUCACACCAUCAAGUCUAACAACAGAAACUUAGCAGCGACUGGGUGUCAGGUGACAUAGGGCAGAAAGCUCUGCCCUCCAGGAUUCCCCUGACAGAAGGUCCAGCUGGGGGUUCAAUCAAAACUAUCCCCACAGAUGGUGAACACUGAAGAUGGAAUAAAAUCUCUAGUCCAGGUUGAUGCUGGAUCCCAAGAGAGAGAAUUUGUGGAAUGCCUAUGAGGCAGCUUGUGAUUGAGCCUACCAGGGGAUCAGCUAUUCUGGAUUGGAUGCUGUGUAAUGAACUGGAUUUGAUUACGGAGCUUAAGAUACUGAGUAGUUGUUGCUAACUAGUUUCAAGAUGGAAAAGCAUUCAAAAUGUGAAUAACCAGAUGACCUGUUUCUUCUGAGGCUGUAAUUGCAUUAUUACUGACUGUGAAGGAGUCUGAAUUAGAGAUAUUUAGAAAAUGGCAAAGCAAAGCAGUGUUUCUUUUAUUGUGUGAAAUAUCUUUAUUUGAAGUUGCCAGAUCACAGCAAGGUUAAUGAAAUGUCUGAUACUGGUAUACUCUUCACUUUCUCUCAAGCUUUUUAUCAUUUGAGAUUAUCCCCGUUUACUCAUGAUCAUCUUGGGGAUCAAUGUGUUGAUGAUCCAAUGUCAGCUUUCCCUACCUGUGGCCUUCAUCUCAGUGGUCAACCUGCCAAUAUCUACUGAUGACUAAUUGUCCCUUUUUCUGACUGUAGUACUUUCAUGGCUAAGAAGUUGAAGUUGAGCUUAUUACCAUAUGAGCAUAAAUGUUAUUUAGUUAUUGAGAUACAGUGUGGAAUAGGCUGUUCUGGCCUUCCAGGUGACACCAACCAACAAUCUCCUGAUUUAAUCUGAGCCUAAUCAUGGGACAAUUUACAAUGAGAAAUUAACCAACCAACUGGUAUGUCUUUGGACUAUGUCAAGUACCUGGAGCACCCAGAAAACAUCCACGCAAUCACGGGGAGAAUGUACAAACUCCUUACAGGUAGCAGCAGGAAUUGAACUCAGAUCGCCUGUGUUGUAAGGCGUUGUGCAUGGGUGCAAUGAACAGUUCACUUGCAGCAGUGACACAAGCACAUAACAUCAGAUAAGCUGUACUCACCAGAAAAAAACCAUUAAACAUAAAUUAUGUGCAUUUUUAGGAGGAAAAAAAAGUUAGAGCACAAACAACAAACUAAAACAGAGUUUUCACCCUUAAGGUAAAACCGUGCUGUCAUAAUAAUUGCAACGGGUGCCUUUUAGAUAUGACAUAGUUUUGCACUUCCCAUCUACCCAGUAGCCACUUCCCCCAACUUGAACAAACUGGUGCAGCCCUUGCCCCACUCCCCCUACCCCCCCACCAUUUCCUGUCUGGUGUCUGUGUCAACAGAGUGUCACAAUGUCAUAACAGUGGAAUGAGAAUCCAAAUGGCCAAUGGAAUUUAUUUUUCACAAUAGGAUUUGAUUUCAAGCUGUUUUGAUGGAAUUAUGCAUUGACGUUGAUGUACAGUUAAGGUGGGAACAAAAAUGUUAAGAAUUUCCAACAUCUGCUGCCUGUUCAGACACACAGCUUCAAUUAUUACAGUUUUGUUUGCAUAUCUCAAGUGCUCUUCGUAAGGUUGUCAUUUUUCUCCCCUGCUGACUCUGGCUCAGAUUUUUUUUGACUAUUUGGAGCCUAUAUUAUGACAGUAUUGUGAAUAUUGACCAAGAUUUUUCUCACUCUCUCUCCCAUACCCCACCUUCUCUGUCCCCCCCCCCCCCCCCACUCUCCCCUCUCUCUCCCAAAGUAAGCUGGAAAGCUGGAAUUGUGGAGUAUAUGUGCUCUCUCUGAAGGCACCUACACAGCCUGCCAGCCCUGUAGGUAUUGCAACAAUAUGCAGAAAUUUCAUUACACUCAUGGAGAAAGUCACAGAGAGCUCCAUUAUUUACAAGGAUAAUGGAAUUUGUACCUAUUCACAUUUUGCAGUGUAUCUCUCCCUUGCCGGAAAAUGCUCUUAUUUUCAAUACAUUAAUAACAGUGUG